rnacentral:rRNA from 1 species
UCAGUUCGGAUCGAAGUCUGCAACCCGACUUCGUGAAGCUGGAUUCGCUAGUAAUCGCGCAUCAGCCAUGGCGCGGUGAAUACGUUCCCGGGCCUUGUACACACCCGCCCGUCAAGCCAUGAAAGCCGGGGGUACCUGAAGUACGUAACCGCAAGGAGCGUCCUAGGGUAAAACUGGUAAUUGGGGCUAAGUCGUAACAAGGUAUC